AGCAGCCGCGGUAAUUCCAGCUCCAAUAGCGUAUAUUAAAGUUGUUGCAGUUAAAAAGCUCGUAGUUGAAUUUCGGGGUUUAUCCGUUGGUCGGGCUUUUGGGUCUGUACUGGCGUGAUGAAUUCCUACCUUCUGAAUAACCAGCAUGUCAUUAAUUUGGUGCGCCGGGGAAGCAGGACUGUUACCUUGAAAAAAUUAGAGUGCUUAAAGCAGGCUAUUGCCUGAAUACAUUAGCAUGGAAUAAUGAAAUAGGACGGCAUGGUUCUAUUUUGUUGGUUUCUAGGAUCACCGUAAUGAUUAAUAGGGAUAGUUGGGGGCAUUAGUAUUCAAUUGUCAGAGGUGAAAUUCUUGGAUUUAUUGAAGACUAACUUCUGCGAAAGCAUUUGCCAAGGAUGUUUUCAUUAAUCAAGAACGAAAGUUAGGGGAUCGAAGACGAUCAGAUACCGUCGUAGUCUUAACCAUAAACUAUGCCGACUAGGGAUCGGACGAAGUUAAUUUUUAAUGACUCGUUCGGCGCCUU
rnacentral:rRNA from 1 species